rnacentral:rRNA from 1 species
UACAGAGGGUGCGAGCGUUAAUCGGAAUUACUGGGCGUAAAGCGCGCGUAGGCGGCUUUGCAAGUCGGGUGUGAAAUCCCCAGGCUUAACCUGGGAACUGCAUUCGAGACUGCAUUGCUAGAGUAUGGGAGAGGGAAGUGGAAUUCCUGGUGUAGCGGUGAAAUGCGCAGAUAUCAGGAGGAACACCGAUGGCGAAGGCAGGUCUCUGGGCCGAUACUGACGCUGAGGAGCGAAAGCGUGGGUAGCAAACAGG